GGCCCGGGCAGGGCCGCUGCCAGCACCGGGCCCGGCGCAGGCCGCUGCCCGAGCCCAGCCCUCCGCGGCCAGAUUGUUCAUCGCUGUUGCCUGUGCGCAGAGACCAGCGGGAAAAUGCAUCAGCUUUUCCCCCCUUCCUGCGUGGCGGAGACAUUUGUGGCGCUUCUGAAGUGGGGAAGGCAAGCAGAGGUGUCAGCUCGCAAGAUUAGCUGUCCUCUCUUUGUUUCAAAUGCCAGAAAGUAUUUGUUAGGAAAACAGUCCUUGUGACACACCGGCACCGAUUCCCUGCCGCCUCCUAUGAAGAGGCACUGUGGUUCUUGUCACGGCACACUUUGCGACGGAGGAGGCAAAUGGAGACCCCGUGAGAAGGGAGUGGGCCAGGACGUGCGGGGAAUACGCAGCGCACACAGCGAUUGCCCGAGCUGCAGUGUAUCCGCAAUCCAGAGAUCUGAUGUCAUCGCCUCCCAGGCAGUUCUCCAGUGUGCAGGCGCAGCCAUCUGUGCAGCGGAUCAUUUGUUACCCCUGUAGGCCUCCGACACCGACCACCAACAAACCACCGGCCAGCUCCAAGUAGGGCGAGCACAAGACUUCUCACUACAGGACACCAGAAAUGCUCUAGUCAAAAAAGAGGUGCACAGAGGACAUAUGGAUCUAAGAAGUCACCUUUAGGAAGUCACAGUAAUACUUACUUGUCUGGAUGGGAACAAAGCAGUUAAGGAAACAAGUAAAGCCAGUGCUUUCCAGCAGCUCUUCUGUUCCACUUAACAGCAACAUCAGAAAAACAUUAACAGCUUCAGUGAGGAGGUGGACUGCUGUGAGCUCUAUCAAUGCUCUCAUUCUAUGCUUCUGACAUGCAUAUUGGGAAUCUGUGCUGUGACCCUUUUGAAAGCAUCAGCCCAGAAAACACUGUGUUGUUGGAACAAUCCCUCUGGUCUUAGCCUGCCUCGCCUCAUGAUGCUCAAAAUGCAGUGACACAGAAGGAAGCCUACAUCAAGUCAAACAAGCAAGCAAUUAGAAACAAGCUUGCCAUUGGCAGCCAGCUGAGGGAAAAAACAAACUCCCUAACAAAACAACAAGAAAACCUCACUAUUUUAUUCACAUCCAAGCUUUCAGAGGCAGUCUAUGUGCUGACCUGUAUUUUUUUUUCUACUUAGUUAAUACCUUUCUCUUAAAGAUGCAGUGCUACAGUUAUCAGACACUUUAGGAUGUACCACUUCCACAGAUGAAGGAACUUAACACAGGGAGUUUCCUGAACACCUCACGUUCUUUAAUAUACAUUUACAAAGAACUAUUCAUUGAGAUCUAAAUGUUUAUUCUGUUCAAGUGCUGUAGGGAAGAAUCAAAAACUAUCACCUAAGGACCUGGGCCAUUAACACGGGUAUCUGUGUUUGGCAGAGUUAAUAGGCAUUAUUCUAACCUAAUCUGAACAAGGAGUCUAGUUUUUCCCAAACACAGAGCAUUGAUAGAAACUGGAAAAUGAAAAAACAUUUUUAUUUCACCCUUAUUUUCCAGUUAAGCUACAAGGAGAUUUACUUAUUCAUUUAUAGAGUGUUUCAGUGCCUGUUCAAAGUUAAGCACUUAAGCACCUCCCACUGGCCAGGGAAGGAGACCGGUCCCACAACGCUGUUAGUUAGCAUGAGGGAGCAGCAAAGGUGGCUGCUGCUGGGGGAAAGGUGAGCCAGGGAGGUACGAGCAAGGCAGGCAGAGAAGCGGUGCCAACUACAAGAAAGAGUCCCACAGUACCUGAGUGAGGAGAGCAGAGCAGGGCCAGCAGCAGCGAGAAGGGUGAGGCCUUGAGCAGCAGCCAUCUGCAGCAAGGAACAGGUCCAAGGGCAAAGCAGGCAGCCAGCAGGGCAGACACAGAGUCAGGGAAGCAAAAGACUAGCUCUCAUGCUUGAGAGAAGCUGCUAAGGCACAGCAGAGAAGGCUCAAGUGGAACUUUUCUCCACCUGGCUGUUUUUCAGCAGCCUGAUGGGGGUCACACAGGUGCAGCACAUCAUGGCUGAGCCAACCCCUGGGGCAGUGAGGCUGCAGAGCUGGGGGGGCACUCAACCCCUCACAGUUACUGUCACCACCCCACUUGUCCCAGUGGUCACAAACAGCUGAGGCCCUAACCCACCCUCUUGAGACAGCAGGACUCCUCCAGCAGGAUAGUGAUGCUGACAGACUGAACAAAUGAUCAACAGAGGCAAGAAGAAUUAUAUCUGCUGCAUGGACUGCACUAUUGGAAAUGAACUCAAGGGUCUGGAUAGAAAAGAAGUGAAGGCCUUCCUCUGGUCUAAAAGGUAUGACCUAGUCAGUCUUGCUACUCUUGCAGUUUCAUAUUCUAUUAUUACCAUGAUUUUCAAGAGCAAUAAUUCUUUGUAGUUAGGAGAGUUAAUAUUAUCUGUCUUGCCAGGAUUGCAAUUGUUCUUAGGUGGAAUCCAGAGCUAUGCAUUUAGCUCCAUCAGUGAGUGGCAGAAUAGUGCAGGUUAAUGCUCUGGAUGGGGAUAUUGAGGUUUGGCCCUGGAAUCCUACUGCUGUCAACUGCUGAAUCCCAAUCUGUGGAUGAUACCUCAAAGGAGUGUAUCCCAGAAAUUAGACAAGACUGGUAAAACUCUGGGUGUUGGGUGUCAAGUGAGUUCCUUGCCUAAGAGCCAGAGCAGCAUGAGAGGGAGCUGGGAGGGGCUGAGAGUGUUCAGAGUUUGGCAGAGGACGUGAUACAGGGAGGUGUGUAUGAGAAUGUGGACAUGGUGGGAAUUUUCUGGGUGUUAUUUCAGUCUUUUGGCUUGGUUCAGCACAGAAGGUGUUCCUGGCAGUGAGCUAAAGAAGGAAUUGGGCAUUGUACAAGCAAUGUAACAGCAGGCUGAGAGUGAGAAUGAAGAUGCUGUGCCUUGGAGUGAAGUCAGGUUGGGGAUUCAAUGUGUGCAAGGAGUUACAGUCCAGAGAUGGCUCCUGAGUGUUUGCUGGGAAGCAGAAGGGCAUUGUAGAUCUGCAUGGUAACGUGGAGAUGCACCCACACGGGCUGUACCUGGGCCAUGUGGGAACAGUGCCAAGUGGGGAAUGAGCUGCUUGGUGAGGACCACAAGAGCUAAAUGAGUAUUUGGAGUCAAGACCCAAAUUCCUGUAUUUUGUGUGUACACUCAUUUUGUGUUGGGCUGGAAAGAUUGGAGAAUUCAUGAAGUGAACAAGGAACUAAAAGAUCCAGGUAGAACUCCUUGAUUAGUUUCACAUGGGCAAUUCUAAGUGAACACAGAGGGCGAAGUGGGAAAAAGGAGAAGCUCUGUCAGGCAGUUCCCCAAAACACCAAACACAGAAGCAGGGAGAGGGCUGCUCGAUAGUGCUGGCAGUGUUGCAACACAGGAUCUGGAAGUUUGUGGAAUGGCCGUGGUGCUUACAUACGAAAUAAAACAAGUUCCCUCCAUAAAAGUCCUGCCUGUGCCUAUAUC